rnacentral:rRNA from 1 species
AGCUCCAGUAGCGUAUAUUAAAGUUGUUGCGGUAAAAAAGCUCGUAGUUGGAUUUCUGUUGAGGGCGACCGGUCCAUACCUUGUAUGUGUAUCUGGCUCGGCCUCGGCAUCCUCUCGGAAGCCGCCUGCGCUUGAGUGCGUGGAGCGGAGUUCGGGACUUUUACUUUGAGGAAAUUAGAGUGUUCACGGCAGGCUUGCGCCAGAAUACAUUAGCAUGGAAUAAUAAUAUAGGAUCUCGGUUCUAUUUUGUUGGUUUCUAGAACUGCGAUAAUGAUUAAUAGGGACAGUUGGGGGCAUUCGUAUCAACACGUCAGAGGUGAAAUUCUUGGAUUGUGUUGCGACGAACUACUGCGAAAGCAUUUGCCAAGGAUGUUUUCA